ACCCAAAGAAAGUUAAUUAAUCUAGCUCAGUUGGUAGAGCAUGAGAUUCUUAAUCUCAGGUUUGUUGGUUAGAGCCCCACCUUGGGCA